rnacentral:tRNA from 1 species
GUGGUCCAGUGGUUAGGACUUGGUGCUUUCAAUGCCAUGGCCUGGGUUCAAACCCUGGC